UGAGCAAUCUGCCCUUCUCAUCGGAAUAAAGCGUUGGAAACGACGUCUAAUGCCGAAUACGACCUCCUUUCGCAUGAUCGGAGGUGGAAAGCUCCGGCGGAGAAGGAUGAGCUCGCGGCCUAUCAGCUAGUUGGUGUGGGUAAUGGCCCACCAAGGCGACGGACGGGUAGCCGGCCUGAGAGGGUGACCGGCCACACUGGGACUGAGACACGGCCAGACUCCUACGAGAGG
rnacentral:rRNA from 1 species